CGACGGACGGGUGAGUAACGCGUGGGUAACCUACCCUGUACACACGGAUAACAUACCGAAAGGUAUGCUAAUACGGGAUAAUAUAUUUGAGAGGCAUCUCUUGAAUAUCAAAGGUGAGCCAGUACAGGAUGGACCCGCGUCUGAUUAGCUAGUUGGUAAGGUAACGGCUUACCAAGGCGACGAUCAGUAGCCGACCUGAGAGGGUGAUCGGCCACAUUGGAACUGAGACACGGUCCAA
rnacentral:rRNA from 1 species